UNUGACUUGAGUGCAGAAGGGGAGAGUGGAAUUCCAUGUGUAGCGGUGAAAUGCGUAGAUAUAUGGAGGANCACCAGUGGCGAAAGCGGCUCUCUGGUCUGUCACUGACGCUGAGGCUCGAAAGCGUGGGUAGCGAACAGGAUUAGAUACCCUGGUAGUNCACGCCGUAAACGAUGAGUGCUAGGUGUUAGGCCCUUUCCGGGGCUUAGUGCCGGAGCUAACGCAAUAAGCACUCCGCCUGGGGAGUACGACCGCAAGGUUGAAACUCAAAGGAAUUGACGGGGGCCCGCACAAGCGGUGGAGCAUGUGGUUUAAUUCGAAGCAACGCGAAGAACCUUACCAGGUCUUGACAUCCCGAUGCUAUUCUUAGAGAUAGGAAGUUACUUCGGUACAUCGGAGACAGGUGGUGCAUGGUUGUCGUCAGCUCGUGUCGUGAGAUGUUGGGUUAAGUCCCGCAACGAGCGCAACCCUUAUUGUUAGUUGCCAUCAUUAAGUUGGGCACUCUAGCGAGACUGCCGGUAAUAAACCGGAGGAAGGUGGGGAUGACGUCAAAUCAUCAUGCCCCUUAUGACCUGGGCUACACACGUGCUACAAUGGUCGGUACAACGAGUUGCGAGCCGGUGACGGCAAGCUAAUCUCUGAAAGCCGAUCUCAGUUCGGAUUGGAGGCUGCAACUCGCCUCCAUGAAGUCGGAAUCGCUAGUAAUCGCGGAUCAGCACGCCGCGGUGAAUACGUUCCCGGGCCUUGUACACACCGCCCGUCACACCACGAGAGUUUGUAACACCCGAAGUCGGUGAGGUAACCCUUUAGGGGCCAGCCGC
rnacentral:rRNA from 1 species